UAAUGCAUGAGCUACUGUUUUGCUGGGUGGGAUUCCUCUUGCUUAAAUUUAACUAUCCAAAUGUUGAGCGUCUAGACAUCUCUACACUCCUUAGGCAACAGACAGAAACAGGUUCCCCAGAAAGUGAUUUCAUGCUACCUACCUUAGAUAAUUAUCUUAGGAUAGGAGGAUUUACCCUCUGGGGAUGCCAGUCCAGGGGCCUGGGCAAGGUGUCUAGACUGCUAAUUUUUAGAUGUCUGAAGAUAAAUGAAAUUUAUCUAGAUCACCUAACCAUUUAAUGCUGAAAUAACAUUCACCAUAACUCCCUAUUAAUACAUAAUUGCUCUGUACACAUAUUGUGACGGGUCCCUCAAAACCUUCAUCUAGAAGGUUUGAAUUAGGAAUCUUGACACAGAGUAAAGACUGGUUUGGUUCUGUUUGUUUUUCCAGUUUUGCAUCUCUGGGGGACUUCACUUCAGACUUUGCACUGCAACCACAAGGGCUAAACGUUAAAAAAAAACACCCCCAAAAAAAACACCAAAACCAAACCAACAAAGAAAAAAAACCCCAAACACUGCAACAAAACCCCAACCAAACCAAACACCAAAGAAUGUUAGUAGUUUUUAUUAUUCUUGCAGGUGGGGUUUAGAGAAAGCACCAUGUAAAACAAGAAUCAGGAUCAAAUGAGCUGGCAAUACUGAAUAGAGAAGCUUGAUGCUCUUUCUCAGUUGACAUGAAUUGUGGCUGUAAUUCCUUUAACUACGUGACAAGAGCGUUCCGUUUUACAUCUCUAAACUUCACAGCUGCCUCCUUUAUCUCUCAACAUUUCUGCUCCUGGUCGUAAGCUUCUGCCCAUGGUUGCUCUGCCUCUGCUAGAGCCAGAGACACCUCCACUAAGCCUGAAGCACAGAUCUGCUUUCUGCUGGGAAGCGUAUAGCUGCCAGAGGUCCACAAGAUGAGCUGAAUGCUUCCAUAACCCAGCCUCAAGCGCAACUGAAAUACUGAAAUUUCCUAGACAGUUGUUUAGUUGGGUAGCUUCUUCAAGGAAUUCUACAAGAAACAUCUGAGCUGAAAUAUGUCUGCAAUGUCCCCUGCUGUCAGGAGGGUUACUCAGGUAGGACUGGAACCCUCUGUACCAGCUGCCUCUGAAGCGAUUCAAAGCACUGCAGGUGCCAAUACCAAAGGUUACCUCAGGCACAGGUAAGUCAUAGGAUGCUUCAGGAAAGUAUCCAGGAAAGUAUCUUCUCUUUUCCCUAUACGCUGCAAAAGCUAACUGCAGCAUGAUAACUCUGUUAGACUAAGUUAGCUGUCGGUCUUCCAGUGAUUUACAAACUACUCAAUGUGUCCUCAUGUAGAUUUUGGGAGGGUUUUUUUUUUGGCGGGUGGGGUUUGGUUCUGCAUCUCAUCCCCUCUCCCCAGUGACUGGGUUGUAGUUUGGGGUUUUGGGGCCCUUUUUGUUUGGUGGGUUUUGUUUGGUUGUGUGGUUUGUUUCUUGUUUGGGUUUUUUGUUUUGGGGUUUGUUUUUGUUGUUGGUUUUUUUGUGUUUUGUGUGCGUUGUUUUUUUUUAAAAUAAAUCAUCAUGGGAAAUUUCCAUGAACAAAAUAAACGCAUGUGAUUAUUUUGCAACCCCAAUGAUUGUGCAACUCUAACCACAGCCUAUGCUGAAGCUUUCCAGAAGAUAUUGAUUAAUUGCCUACAACAAGUACUCUGUAAAAACAAAGCAGCUUUGUAGCGGUUUACUUAAGACAGGAAUUGAAUCAAGGCAUGCCUGGCCCCGAACCUAGCUCUUCAACGUGGAGAUCAACAAUGCAGAUUAGCUUUUAGCAACAAAGAUUUAAUUCUGUAAGACAAUUCU